rnacentral:rRNA from 1 species
AGUGAACGCUGGCGGUAGGCCUAACACAUGCAAGUCGAACGGCAGCACAGUAAGAGCUUGCUCUUACGGGUGGCGAGUGGCGGACGGGUGAGGAAUACAUCGGAAUCUACUUUUUCGUGGGGGAUAACGUAGGGAAACUUACGCUAAUACCGCAUACGACCUACGGGUGAAAGCAGGGGAUCUUCGGACCUUGCGCGAUUGGAUGAGCCGAUGUCGGAUUAGCUAGUUGUCGGGGUAAAGGCCCACCAAGGCGACGAGCCGUAGCUGGUCUGAGAGGAUGAGCAGCCACACUGGGGCUGAGAGACGGCACAGACUCCUACGGGAGGAAGCAGUGGGGAAUGUUCCGCAAUGGGCGAAAGCAUGAAGGAGCAAUACCGCGUGAGGGAGGGAGGCUCUUGGGUUGAAAACCUAUUUUCUCAGGGCAGCAGGCAAUGACGGUACAUGAGGAAUCAGCAUCGGCUAACUCCGUG